GGAGUAUUCCUAAUACUGAGCAUAAGAGGAGGCUAGCUUUGGAGUUAGGAAGAGACCCUACUAUGUUUGAACUAUUCAAGAGGACGCAUUUAAAUGAUAAAACCGGAAAAUUUGCGGAUCGGCGAGCAGAAUUAGCUCAUGAUGAGUUUACAAGGAGAAAGGCAGAAUUAAGUUCUGA